UGCGCUCUCAAAGUGGUUGUGAAAUGCAUUUGAAAGCUUUGCGCGCAUAUCACAGCCAGCUUUGAUGAGCUUAG
rnacentral:pre_miRNA from 11 species